AAACCCAACAGGGAUUACCUCAGUAACGGCGAGUGAAGCGGUAACAGCUCAAAUUUGAAAGCUAGCUCUUUUAGGGUUCGCAUUGUAAUUUGUAGAAGAUGCUUCGGGUGUGGCCCCGGUCUAAGUUCCUUGGAACAGGACGUCAUAGAGGGUGAGAAUCCCGUAUGUGACUGGGUGCUUUCGCUCAUGUGAAGCUCUUUCGACGAGUCGAGUUGUUUGGGAAUGCAGCUCAAAAUGGGUGGUAAAUUUCAUCUAAAGCUAAAUAUUGGCCAGAGACCGAUAGCGCACAAGUAGAGUGAUCGAAAGAUGAAAAGCACUUUGGAAAGAGAGUUAAACAGUACGUGAAAUUGUUGAAAGGGAAGCGCUUGCAACCAGACUUGCGCGCUGAUGAUCAUCCGGGCUUCUGUCCGGUGCACUCGUCUGCGCUCAGGCCAGCAUCGGUUUCGGUGGUGGGAUAAAGGCCUUGGGAAUGUAGCUCCUCUCGGGGAGUGUUAUAGCCCUCGGUGCAAUGCCGCCUAUCGGGACCGAGGACCGCGCUUCGGCUAGGAUGCUGGCGUAAUGGUUGUAAGCGACCCGUCUUGAAACACGGACCAAGGAGUCUAACAUCUAUGCGAGUGUUUGGGUGUCAAACCCAUACGCGUAAUGAAAGUGAACGGAGGUGAGAACCCUUAAGGGUGCAUCAUCGACCGGUCCUGAUGUCUUCGGAUGGAUCUGAGUAAGAGCAUAGCUGUUGGGACCCGAAAGAUGGUGAACUAUGCGUGAAUAGGGUGAAGCCAGAGGAAACUCUGGUGGAGGCUCGCAGCGGUUCUGACGUGCAAAUCGAUCGUCAAAUUUGCGUAUAGGGGCGAAAGACUAAUCGAACCAUCUAGUAGCU
rnacentral:rRNA from 1 species